UACGUAUGGACCGAGCGUUGUCCGGAAUCAUUGGGCGUAAAGGGCUUGUAGGUGGUUUGUCGCGUCUGUCGUGAAAUCCUGUGGCUUAACCAUGGGCUUGCGGUGGGUACGGGCAGGCUUGAGUGCGGUAGGGGAGACUGGAAUUCCUGGUGUAGCGGUGAAAUGCGCAGAUAUCAGGAGGAACACCGGUGGCGAAGGCGGGUCUCUGGGCAGUAACUGACGCUGAGGAGCGAAAGCAUGGGGAGCGAACAGG
rnacentral:rRNA from 1 species